UUGACUGACGGGUGACAUGACAUUAUUUACAUUAUGAGUUUGUGAUUGUGAAAAUUUACAUAAAUGCAGAAGUCUAUGAUGGAAUUCUUCACAUCCGUCGACUCCGCAUGGCUUGGCCCUGCAGUACUUAUGGAAACGAAACUGUGUGAUGAUGAGCCUGUGUAAUGCGGAACGGAUACGAAUUACUGCGCUGCGGAUAUCCAGUAUGCUGUGGUGUCGUCGCCCUAGGCCUGUCGCCUUGAUGUGGAGCGUUGAAGAUGUCACACGGGCCGAAAUUCGCUUGUUUAUCGGCUUCCACCUCCAGGAAGCGCGCGAAGACUUCAAUUUGCGGAUGACCGGGCAGGCAGCGCUCCGCAGCGUAGUCGCACCACUUGCUUUGCAGUAGCGGGGUCAAUUUUGACACUAGAACGUGAAUAAGUUCUGGUGAAUGUAUGUAGGGUGAAUUAUUUAAUAAAUUGACUACACUAA